rnacentral:rRNA from 1 species
AUGACGUCAAGUCCUCAUGGCCCUUAUGUCCAGGGCUACACACGUGCUACAAUGGCCGGUACAAAGGGCUGCAAUACCGCAAGGUGGAGCGAACCCCAAAAAGCCGGUCUCAGUUCGGAUUGGAGUCUGCAACUCGACUCCAUGAAGUUGGAAUCGCUAGUAAUCGCGGAUCAGCACGCCGCGGUGAAUACGUUCCCGGGCCUU